GUGAGCGUAGCUCAGUUGGCAGAGCCCCUGACUGUGGAUCAGGUGGUCGGGGGUUCAAAUCCCCUCGCUCACCCCA
rnacentral:tRNA from 1 species